rnacentral:tRNA from 1 species
GAGUAAGAAGCAAUAAGUGCAAUUAGUUUCGACCUAAUAAAUUGGUAUUGAAUUACCCUUACUUU